rnacentral:rRNA from 1 species
AAUGAACGUUGGCGGCAUGGAUUAGGCAUGCAAGUCGAGCGAGAAGAGUUUUGAAGCUUGCUUUAGAACUCGGACAGCGGCGAAAGGGAGAGUAACGCGUAGUUAUGUGCCCUAGGGUCCGGAAUAGCCACGGGAAACUGUGGGUCAUGCCGGAUCAUAUCCCCGGAUCAAAGGUGUGAUUCCGCCCUAGGAGCAGACUGCGUCCUACUAGCUAGUUGGUGGGGUAAUGGCCCACAAAGGCAAUGUUGGGUAGCGGGUGUGAGAGCAUGACCCGUCUCACUGGGACUGAGACACUGCCCAAACACCUACGGGUGGCUGUAUUCGAGAAUCUUCGGCAAUGGGCGAAAGCCUGACCGAGCGAUGCCGCGUGCGGGAUGAAGGCCCUCGGGUUGUAAACCGCUGUCGUAGGGGAGGAAGGUUCCGUGAAGAGCGGGACUUUACCUAUCCUAGGAGGAAGUACGGGCUAAGUUCGUGCCAGCAGCCGCGGUAAAAC